AAUCUAUCUUUUACGUUACUGGUAGUCAAAUAAUACAAAAACAAAAUCAAAUCAUUUCCAAAUUUAUUACAAUUGCCUAAAGUAUUCUACUGUACACUUAAUCCUACGAAUUAUUCUGAAAAUUCUAAAAAAAGCAAAGUUCAUCACAGAAGCUCCACCGUCGUUUCUCUUCAAACAGCGCCGAUACAUAUUAGAUAACUGAUCAUUGCAAUCGAUAACUACCAUCGAAUCAGUUUCAAAAGAUAAGGAUGUUAGGGUACGAUUAUGCACUCUUUACGCAUUUAUUUCCUAGCGGUGUACGACGAUAUGAUGUACGAGCUCAAUUGAUGUUUUCAGUUAUACUAACCGAUGUACAACUAAGAAAAUCUGGGCGAGGGUGUUAAUGCACUAUUUUCUCUCCUCAUGUUGAAAACUUCAUCAAAAGGUUUCAAAAGGGGUUCAUAUAUAUACUUCAUAGGAAUUUUAUUUCUUUAGAUGAUCGAACUUUGUAAAUAAUUUUCCUUCCUUAUUAUUUAUGGUGAUUAAUUGUAAUAACACAAUUUAAUUUAGUUUGUUUACAAUUUCGCACGCAUCGCGUGCAUAUAAAACUAGUAGUUUAAGAGCCGAGGGAUA